rnacentral:lncRNA from 1 species
AGGGAUCUGUCGUGUUUGACGAAAGUGGACUUCUGAAUUUUUUUACUUUCCGUUCCCUUUCGCCACUUCGGCGCCCUCUUCGCCCUUCCUUAGGUCUUUACUUUCCCUCUGUUCUAUUUCUGUCUCGGUCAUCUUCAUCGUCGAGGAUUUGGCACAAAAAUCGUACGACGCAGAGGCUCGGGAGCUGUUGCUUCGUUGUCCUUUUGUUCUUCAUCUGAUUCCAUUUGCCUUUCUGCAACUAGCCAAGAUGAGCUUUGAAGCUAUUCAUAUUAAUAUAGCAUUUAGAUGAAUUCUAGCGUUUCAGAAAUAGAUUUCUGACUAUUUGGGAAAAUAGUUGUUUAUUGUCUCAGAUAUUGAUUGCUUGUUCAAGCUACCGUUGAUUGGAGACUCAAAAGUACGAAGAAUAGUCUGUUGCUCGCUGUGCUUCAGUUGGCUUUGAAGAUCUUUCUUCUACCACUGGUAAAUUUUGCCUCUCCUGCCGUAAACUUUUGUUGCUAAGUGUUAAAUCUCAAACAUUAUCGUGUUGGAUAAGAUGAAUUUUUACCAUUUGAUUCAAGCUAGCAAAGGCUGCUCAAAUUGGUUCAUUUAAGAUGGUUUAUGCUUGAGUCUGCCAUAAAUCAGAGAGUUCCUUUGUGAAGUUUGCUAGAAAUUUUGUAUUUCCACAUGUUCAAUCAAAAUUCAUUUGAAUAUCAUCACAAGGCAAUACCUUCUUUGGGAAAUUAAAUCAUCACAAAGGAUUGGACUAAAAAUAUUUAAUAAUAUUACUAAGGAAAUAUGCGCACUGGCUAAAUCUUGGGCGGAAAUUCGCUAUUUUGCAGGCAUUGCUUUGUCUUUUUUUGCUCCUACAAUGAUCAUAAAAAAAUUAAUGAAAUACUGGUGUCAAUAAUACGAUCAUGUGGUUGAGCCCGAUAUUGAAACAUGGACGAAUACUCUGUGAAUCAUAUGGUAAGAAGGAAUCCGGUGUCAUUGGAAUGAGUCUUGUGGUGAAUCAACACUAACAAUGAAACUAAGUUAAGCUCUUGCUGGAUCAAAUUUUGCUAUAUUUUUUCAAGUGUGAUGAUGAAGCAAUAAGAUGGCUACAUUAGAAAUUUUAUAUAUCCAGCACUUUGUUUAAUCUAAAACUGUAGUCUCCUGAUAUGGAAUUUGAUAAUCAUCUGCUAAACGUCCUAUAAAGAUUAUACUAGAUUACCUGUGUUUAAAGUUCUGGUUUAAUUAUAUGCUAAAUAAGAUAGUAGUAUGGUAGUAAAAGUUUUUUGCUGAUCAGAUUACAGCUAGGACAGGAACAAAUUUUGUCCUGUCCUACUACAUGUUCAAAUAAAUGGAUCUACCCCUUUUUAGGGUAUAUGCUUACUGAAAAAUAAUGAGAAACAGAACAAUGGCUCUAAAGGUUUAUGAAAAAAUGUCACAUCUAACAUCAGGUUGGAAAUGCGGAAAGUAGUUGUCAUACUAAAGCAAAAAGGUCCCCGAGGGUACCAACUAUGGUCCAAUGAGUAAUUAUUGUCUACUGAAGCUUCAGGUGUUAGCGUUACCGCACCUGAAAUAACAUUGAUGUGUGAACUCAUUAAGACCAAGGAAUAUGCUUCAGGAAACAAAGAAAAAAUUCCAGUUCUCACAAUCUUGAAUUAGAUGAGUUAUAUGACUAUGUCAAUUCCAGUCUCCAAGAUGUUGAUUCAGGAAAAAGUAGGAAGCAGUUAAAAUCACGCAAGAUGGUAAGAAAGAAAGGAAGGAAAUUCCAGCUUGAGUCAAAAAAAGAGGUUCGAGCUUAAAAACUUUUAGUCAAACAUAGAUUGAGCUCUAGAUUUGAUUUUGCCAAAUAAGAACUUACAGAGAAGUUGCAGGUAGACAAAUGGGGGGAAUUGAAACUUUAUAAUAUGAAAUUUAAAUGCAUUAAAAAUGAUGUCGGAAGACGAAAAGUUGUUGAAAGAGGCAAAGAAAAUGCCCUGGUACGAGUGGUAAACACACAAAAAUUAAAAGGUUUGAAAUGACGGUUUACUUUAGUUACGAUGUCACUUUUGUUUGCUUUAUUUACGAUCUUCUUUGUAGCUAUCUGCAUGCUUUGUGUAUGUAGUGUGUUUGUAUUUAUUUUUAGAUUUUUUUAAAAAAAAUUCUUAGGGCCAUUUUUAGGAAGAAUGUAGCGGAUUCAAAUGUGCAGCAUAAUGCUUUUGACGCUUCAAUUAUUUACUUGAAAGCUGCUAAUGCUGAUGCUGAGAGGUAGAGCUUUACUUAAUUAAUUUUACUUUUAGUUUACUUGAUUUGAUUUUAUUGUGGGUGUUAGUUUAAUUUGAUGUGUUUUCUUAUGAGGUAUGUAAAUGUACGAAGAAUGUGAUGCAAUAGUCGCUAAAUGCUUGACAGGGAGGCCAAAGACAUUGGAGAAUGCGAGAAGGUGCAGAUGGUAUUUCUGCUUUAGGUAGAGUUGGAGGCUGUUGAGCUGUUUUUGAUAUGUGUUAAAUCAAAAAUGCCAUCCAUUUCCGAAAUGCUUACAGUACUUGUUAGCUACUCCUAUUUAGCUGGUCACUCUGAGUACGAAUCGAACCUUUUCAGGCUAGAUCACUAUGGAAGUAUAAGUUUUGGCCAUUUAAAAAUUUAGGGAGCGUUCCAAUUCAAUAAAAAUUCUAAGGCUACUUUCUUUUUUCUUUUAAAUUUUGUUAUUGUUUCCUUCCUGCAACAUGAAUGUUGUUGUUUUGUAAACUAUAAGAGCUUAUUUGACUUACAUUCCAUGACAAACAUCACUUUUUAUUUACCUAGCUGAAGAACUAUUGGUAAUAUAUAUGAACCACUUUGGCUAAGAGUUAUCUGUCAUUCUAUUAUAUUUUGUGUUAUUUAUUGUUAGAAAACUAAAACAUAUAAUCAUUUUGAAGUACAAAAAGUGGAUUGAGCUAUUCGAGGACUAUUACUAUUGACUCAAGGUUGUCGGACUAUAGCAUAUUUUGUGGUUAACAAAGAGAGUUGGAAGACUUCCAUACAGUAAAAGUAAGAUAACAAGACAAAUAGCAUGUAAUGUUGUACCAUUAGCUUUUCUGUGGAUCGUACGCAGGGAAAAAAAUAGGAGAGAGUUUGAGGGUGUUGGAGAUAAUUUUGCACAUUUGAGGAAUAGUUUAUUGUCUUUGAUUGCUUUUUCGUGCACUCGUAAUUUUCCUAUUCGUAUUGAUGACUGGGUGUCUUUGGUAAAAAUUAAAGAAUCAUAUUUUGAUAUAGAUUCUCUACUUUGUUGUGUACCUCUUCUAAAGUUAAUGGGAAAAGAAAAAGAGAAGCUUUAGAAUGGGAAGAUAAAAAAUCUAUGAGAAUCUAACAUUGGUGUUGAUUAAUUGAAAUACUACCUCUUUUUAUCAUUGGCUAAUUAUGAUGAGUGUCUUAGGGUUUAGGGUGAAGUUGUGGAGCUGAGCUGUCUUUUUUGUCAUAUCUGUUCCUUCUUCCACCUUUGAGUUGGGAAUUUAAACUACAACUGUGGAGAGGGUUUUAUUAGUUUUUACUUUUAUAUUUUUACUUCAUCAAAAAUUUUGGAGGUUGACAGUACCAAUGGAACUCCCUUAUUCCCACUCUGAUUAUCUGUGGAAACCAUUACAUCACUUUUUCUUUUUAACAGUUUACCUUGAUGAGAAACUUCUAAGCCAUCAUCCUAGAAAACUAAAUAGUACCUUACCAAACCCAAAAGAAGUAGAAUAAUGAAGGCUCUCGAUACUCCAUGACUGAAGAAAAAUUAAAAGUGAGGUUGGACAUGUAUAAUAUAUGCUGAAACUUCCUUCUCUUCUGUUACCAAGUUGAGAGCGGAUAUUUUUUCUUACGAUUACUGUUCAAGUGGUUGAAUAAAAUCCAGGAAUUAUAGCAAUACAUUACCAAAAAUAAAGCUCCUUGAAUAUGGUCUGCUUAGUCCAUUGUCUUUCUUUUUAUUUGAAUCACAUAGCAUACCAAGAAAUAUUUUCUUCCGAAUGUGGCUUUACAUGUGUUAUGUACUGUUCUUUCUUUUUCUAAGUUCUAUACCAUUUUGUUGCCAUUCUUCCAUCUAGGUAAUCGUUUUUUCCUUGUUUUACAUCUAUUUUCAUGUGUUUUCAUUCAGUGUACUUAGAUUUUCGGUUCAAAAAGGUUUUCUUGCCGGAGGAUAAAUUUGAAUUUCUGUUUGUUUCAACUGGAGCUACACUUUCUGUUUGUGAUUUAGACAUAGCUUCCGUUGAUAUAAUUAGAAUCUCUUAUUUUUGAUGAUGUGGUUUGUGCAGGAACUCUACCGAGCAGAGAGCUUCUAAUGUACAGAAGGUCAGCUGAGAAAUUAGUCAAUGCCUUUUGACAUGUUUAGUCGAUAUAUUCUGUCUUGUACUGACUCUCACAUAGCAAAAAAUGCUCUUCUUGGUUGUUUUGAAGUGUCCAGAUUGUACUAAUUCUUUUGAGAGAAAUAAUAAUAGAGUUAACCAUACUUUUUGUUAUACAUCUUUUCACUGGUUAGGUUGCAGCAUAGUUGAAGCUUUUAAAAUUAUCUUUAAUGGCCAAUCAUUUAUACAUUGUAUAUGCAUUAUGUUGCGUGCAUUAUAGUUUUUGAAGCUCAAUUUUCUUGGUUUUUCUAGUGGAGUGGUUAGGAGGCAUUAAUUAUAUACUGAAGUUCUCUCUCCAUUGUAGAAUUUCUAAAAUAUGUCGUGUAUUUAUGUU